GAGAAAAGAGGAAGCCUGCAGUUAGCACCAUCUCCAGAGGAAAAAACAACUGCCACAGAAGAAGACGUGAAGACGACAUGGGACGGUGGGAGAUGAUCAGAGUAGAUAUGGUUUCAUCAGUAGUCACCCCUCUCUCGAUUUACCAUUCAUAUAAAAGGAGAAAAGAAACACGGAGAGAGGAGUAGAGCAAAAUCAAACCAAUAAAGAGAAAAAAUUUGGUAUCAAAAUCGGAGAUUGCAAAUUCACCAAAGUUUUUCAGGUAUCUUCAUCUUUUCUGCGCAGCGUGAAAGCAGGAGCAGGAGCAUCCCAAUUGCUCGGUCCUAGGGUUGCACCUCAGAUUCCCAUCACUCUCAAACUGAGCGCCGCCACGGAUAAAGCGCCUUUUGAUUUCAGCUAUAAUUUCUGUUCAAGGAGCUCCAGAGAAAUUUACUAUGGCACUCAUUUGAUCAUUGCUUGGACUAUUUCCACAUGGCAAUUUUACCAGAAUUGAAAUCUGUUGUGCUUCCCUGUUGUACUAACGGAUAACCUCCCACAUCAUCAUAGUAUCGUUCCUUUUCAGGGCAGUUUUUGUUCCUGUAGAGAUCUUUUGGCAUUGCAAUUUUUGGUGAAGCUUUUGACACCGACACCAAAGAUCACGCUUCCAUUUCUAAUAUUACAGAUUUGGGUGCUCAUUCCUUUGUGAGUAAUAAUUACUAUUAAUUGGGUGAUUCUUCUCUAAAAAUGAAUUAUCCAUUAGUCUGUUGUGGCAGAUCAAUCAUGGAGUUUGGGUGAUGAACUAUAAUAACUAUAACUAUCAGGUUCCCCGGCAUUUUAAGGGUUUUGGGAUCUGGUGAACUUUAAGCACAAAUAUCCUCUUGUUCAUUCACAUGGACCCCUCUUGUUCUUUUGCAAUUUGGAUCUUCAGUUCUAUGCUUUAACUAUGUACCUAGUGAAGCUUCUUUAAUUAGUAGCAAAACUACAUUUUCCAUUAUAUGACAGCUAAGUACUUUAUAUAUUAGUUUCUUUUACUUUUGCAAAGUUCACUUAAGAAAAAGCAUUGUAAAUGUGAUUACUUGAAGUAAUUCUUUAUUGAUAUAUU
rnacentral:lncRNA from 1 species